CAUGCUGCGCUCUCCUGCGGGGUGGGAUCUCUGCUCGGCGCCCGAGUCUCGCUCCGCCAGGCGAGCGCUUGAAGGAUGAAAAUGAGACUGAGAAGACUAGGAGAAGCUGGGAAAAGAUACCGACAUUAGAGUUCAGAUAUUUGGGGAUUCUGAAGCUGUAGUUCUAAUGCAUCUAGAGCCCCUCUCCACACAGCUCCCAGUUCCCCUAUCAAUUCUCACCUUCAAGCACCUGUCACUGA